UACGAGGGGUGCAAGCGUUAUUCGGAAUUAUUGGGCGUAAAGGGUGCGUAGACGGCAUAUUAAGUCAACUGUUAAAACCUCCGGCCUAACUGGAGAUCAGCAGUAGAUACUGGUAAGCUAGAGGAUGGAAGAGAGAAGUGGAAUUCUUGGAGUAGCGGUGGAAUGCGUAGAUCUCAAGAGGAACACCAAUGGCGAAGGCAGCUUCUUAGUCCAUUUCUGACGUUGAGGCACGAAAGCGUGGGGAGCAAACAGG
rnacentral:rRNA from 1 species